GUACUCGCAUCGGCAGCACAUACACUAAAAUUGAAACGAUACAGCAAGGAUUAGCAUGGCCCCGCACAAGCAUGACACACAAAUUUGUGAAGCGUUCCACAUUUUA
rnacentral:snRNA from 1 species